rnacentral:rRNA from 1 species
AAACGCUUGAAGUCAGUCACGCCCUUCUGGAUUCAGCCUUGCUUCUGCUCGGUUUACUUCCAGGUUGGCGGGUCAACGUCAGUUUUGAUCGAGGGAGAAAGGUUUGGGGAACGUGGCAGCAUUCGUGCUGUGUUAUAGCCCCUUGCUGUAUGUCUCGGUCGGGACUGAGGAACGC